AUAACACUAUACAAAGCAGGUAAUAUAACACUAUACAAAGCAGGUAAUACAACACUAUACAAAGCAGGUAAUAUAACACUAUACAAAGCAAGUAAUAUAACACUAUACAAAGCAGGUAAUACAACACUGUACAAAGCAGGUAAUAUAACAC